GACAACAGCAAUUGAACUAUGUGACAGGAACUGGUACCAAUGUCUACAAGCCAAUCGAGUCUAUCUUUGGACAACCAAAAACAUUUCUCCAACAUGUUGUCAUUCUUGGACGUGUUAGUUCAUUUGGAUUUGCAGAUGAAGUCCUUAAAAGGUCAGUUUAAUUAGUUUGUAUCAUAUGAACUAAUGACUAUUAUACUGUACAAAUGAUAUGAAAAUUUUCUUUGGCACUGCGGCCCCCUCCCCCCGCCUAUAUGUUUUUCAAGUCAGCUUCCAAAAAUAAAGAAAUACACUCAAAUUGUUGUGGGUAGCCAAAAAAAUUUCUUUCAUCAAAUUAAAGUUUUUUAGGCUGUCCCAAAAACUCCAUUUUGAAUUGAGUUUUGAAACUCGAUCUUCUGACCGAAAGUUUCAUUGUAGUAAAAAUGAAGUUGUUUGAGUUUAAUACAUUUGUGACAUGUGGAGAUUAGUUUUCAGUUGGAAACCCGACGAUUUCUUAAAAAAAUUCUUGUGUCACUUCGCAUUUUACAAAAAAUUUUUGUUUUGAUGAGAGAUAUGUUUCUUGACACUUUUCAAGAAGUUUGAAAUAGUUCGGGGCACUUUUUGAAUUUUUGAGAAAUUUCCUGUGAAUUUUACCAAUGCAGCAUAUAAAUAUAAAUGCUGUUCAAAUAAUAAUUGUGUAUGCCAAUAAGGCAAUGUGAAUCCUAUUGGCAUACAAAAUUGAUAUUCAGAAUUUAUAAUUUCUAUGCUGCAUCCAAUCUAUAUUUACCAAUCAGGGGAUUCUUUUGUAAAUACCCACUAAUCAAAUAUUCAGAAGUCUGUACUUUUAUGCUAAAACAGAAAUAGCAUUCCAGAGAGUAAAUUAAUAAAAUUAUAUUCAAAUUUAGGGCGUGUUGCAGUUCUAUAUUUUGCCACUGCCUUGUGUGGUCCUCGCCUGUUUGAGAAAAGAAGUACCUUAAAGAUCAAGAUACAGCGCUUAAAUAGAGGAAAGCACAUAUGCCGAAGUUAAAGACAUGAUUAAUUAAGGUAGGUUUUAUCAAUUUGAUGUGAAAUGUUGAUAUUUACAUGAGUUAAAGUGGUUGAAACCGAUUGUCUAAUUUGACGAUCGCAAGUCGCUUUGUGUUCGACAUUUUGUG
rnacentral:lncRNA from 1 species